rfam:Aminobacter sp. Root100 contig_10, whole genome shotgun sequence.
AGCUUUCCGUCAACGCCGACCUCCUCCCCGGCCAUGACGGAUCCGGUCAGCUUCUUCCUCCCGAUAAGCUGACCACCCUAACACACCCGCCCGACCUCCUCCCCGGGCGGGUGUCGUUA